GAUGAACGCUAGCGGCAGGCCUAAUACAUGCAAGUCGAACGGUGUAGCAAUACACAGUGGCGCACGGGUGCGUAACACGUAUGCAACCUACCUAUUAUUGGGGGAUAGCCUUUGGAAACGGAGAUUAAUACCGCAUAAGACAGUGACAUGGCAUCAUGUAGCUGUUAAAGCUUUGGCGAUAAUAGAUGGGCAUGCGUCCUAUUAGUUAGUUGGUGAGGUAAUGGCUCACCAAGACGAUGAUUGGUAGGGGAUCUGAGAGGAUAAUCCCCCACACUGGCACUGGGAUACGGGCCAGACUCCUACGGGAGGCAGCAGUAGGGAAUAUUGGGCGAUGGACGGAAGUCUGACCCAGCCAUGCCGCGUGCAGGAUGACGGCGUUAUGCGUUGUAAACUGCUUUUUUAUAGGAAGAAGAAGCCCUUGCGAGGGAAAGUGACGGUGCUAUAAGAAUAAGCACCGGCUAACUCCGUGCCAGCAGCCGCCGUAACAC
rnacentral:rRNA from 1 species